rnacentral:rRNA from 1 species
AGAGUUUGAUCCUGGCUCAGGAUGAACGCUGGCGGCGUGCUUAACACAUGCAAGUCGAACGGUGAACACGGAGCUUGCUCUGUGGGAUCAGUGGCGAACGGGUGAGUAACACGUGAGCAACCUGCCCCUGACUCUGGGAUAAGCGCUGGAAACGGCGUCUAAUACUGGAUAUGUGACGUGAUCGCAUGGUCUGCGUCUGGAAAGAAUUUCGGUUGGGGAUGGGCUCGCGGCCUAUCAGCUUGUUGGUGAGGUAAUGGCUCACCAAGGCGUCGACGGGUAGCCGGCCUGAGAGGGUGACCGGCCACACUGGGACUGAGACACGGCCCAGACUCCUACGGGAGGCAGCAGUGGGGAAUAUUACACAAUGGGCGCAAGCCUGAUGCAGCAACGCCGCGUGAGGGACGACGGCCUUCGGGUUGUAAACCUCUUUUAGCAGGGAAGAAGCGAAAGUGACGGUACCUGCAGAAAAAGCGCCGGCUAACUACGUGCCAGCAGCCGCGGUAAUACGUAGGGCGCAAGCGUUAUCCGGAAUUAUUGGGCGUAAAGAGCUCGUAGGCGGUUUGUCGCGUCUGCUGUGAAAUCCGGAGGCUCAACCUCCGGCCUGCAGUGGGUACGGGCAGACUAGAGUGCGGUAGGGGAGAUUGGAAUUCCUGGUGUAGCGGUGGAAUGCGCAGAUAUCAGGAGGAACACCGAUGGCGAAGGCAGAUCUCUGGGCCGUAACUGACGCUGAGGAGCGAAAGGGUGGGGAGCAAACAGGCUUAGAUACCCUGGUAGUCC